rnacentral:rRNA from 1 species
GACGAACGCUGGCGGCGUGCUUAACACAUGCAAGUCGAACGGAAGGACCCUGCUUUUGUGUGGUUCUCGCGUGGGACACGGGUGUGUCACACGUGAAUACCCUGCCCUUGACUGUGGGAUACCUUCAGGAAGCUGGUGAUAAUACCGGAUGGGAGCACCUGCUCCAGAGUGGGCGUUUGAAGGUUGGGGCGGCUAGGGAUGGACUCGGGGCUUAUCAGCUUGUUUGUGGGGUAGUGGCAUAACAAGGCUUUGGAGGGUAGCCGGCCCGAGAGGGUUACCGGCCACGUUACGACGGGGAUACGGCACAGACUACUACGGGAGGCAGCAGUGGAGAAGAUUGCACAACGGGAGGAAGCCUGAUGCAGCAACGCCGCGUGCGGUAUGACGGCCUUCGGGUUGGAAAGCGCUGUCGCCUGUGACGAAGCGUGAGUGACGGUAACUGGUAAAGAAGCAACGGCUAACUACGUG